GAUUUCUAAACUCAAUUCUGCCGGUAACAAAAAUCUCUGUAGAUAGUAAACAGCAAUGGUUUGAGGUUGUAAUAAUCGGGACGUAUUUCUGAAAUAUUUAAUUAAAUAUAAAACAAAGGUCUAUUAUUUUACAACACAAUGUCAACACGAUUCUAUCCUCUAUAUCAAAAAGGCAAUCCGCAACUAAGAAUUUUUUUACCAAAUUUCUGGAUGAAGCUAAUUGCACCUAAACAAAAACAGCCACCAAAUGUUGUACAGUUUCACUGCUCUAUGCAAAUGAGUAAACAAGACGUAAAGAAUUAUUUGGAGAAGAUUUAUAAUAUCAAUAUAGUCGACGUGAGGACAAAAGUACAAAUGGGCAGAUUCAAGAGAGAACGACUACAAAAUUCCAUCAUUAAAGAAGACGACAGCAAAAUUGCCUAUGUUGUCCUGCCAAAAGACCAGUCGUUUGUGUUUCCUGACUUGUUCAAGGAUGUAAAACCUGAACUGGACAAAGACAUGAUAGAUAUGACUAAGAAAGAUAUGCAGGAUUUCCUAAAAACCAAUAAAGCACCUGGAUUACCUACUUGGUUUAGGAUUUAGCAAGUAUCUACCACCAUGCUGCUCACAAUCGGCCGACUUUGAAGUAGAAACUUAUCAAGCUCGUCGAGACAAGAGGAUAUCUUUUGUUGCAAGGAAACGGAAGAGAAUACUACGAAAUGCCGAAGUUUAGGGCAGAUCAUUCGCGAAAGUUUGUCCAAAGUCUGCGUCGCUCGAGCCUUUGAUUGAAAGGACUCUGCAAAUGUAUCCACGGUUUGAUUUUUCAGAACGCCAUCCUUCAGCACCACACCGAGAUUGAAUAUCGCGUCUACCGGUGCUUCUUUUUCCGCAGUUUGCAAGAGUUGAAUCUUCAUGCGUUGAUAACCAUUCUUCAGUCCAGUACGAGAAAUCAAAAUGAUGUUCCUAGCACCUCGCAAUAUCAACCAAUCGGUUAACUCCAAACCAAGCCCACCCAGACCACCUACUAUAACAUAACUUUUAUCUCUGAGACAGUAAUAGCGACGAUAUGCCAUAAUAGGCUCGUCUAAAGGUUUAUUCUUUUCCUGGAUAUUUAUAAUAAUCUGUAAACAUGUUCAUGUAUUAAGAAUGGAUAUUAUGAGUGUGAUAUUAUGUUAUUAAAGAGAAUAAUUUUUUAUCUUAUUAUAA